rnacentral:misc_RNA from 1 species
AUGGCGCAUUAAAUACAAGCUUGUUUAAUGAGUCAUAAAUCAACUAUUAGGCGUGACAAACGCCAUUAUGCACCAAAAACGAACCAUUAUACACAAUCAUUAUUAUGUCCGACCUUAACAUUUAAACGUCUUAUCAGCAUAAAAAAAGGAUAGGGAGCUUGUACCAAAUAUUUCUAAACUAUAAUUAAAAGUCAUGGUUUUACAGGGUUAGAUAUUUGACUGUGUAUAAACACAG